AGUUUGCUCUCAGACUGCUGUGCUAGCAAUCAGCGAGACUCCGUGAGCAUAGGACUCUCCUAGCCAGAUACUGCAGUCUGACAGAGAUGGUAAAAAAAAAAUGGCUUGCAGAUUGCACAUUAGAAGAUUCCUCUCCCUCACUGAAAACUUGUGAGAAGGCAGCCAAAAGAGGUUCUCCUUCCUGCGUGAUGGGAAAGUCAAGGAUAAUAAAUAGAAAACCAGCCGAGUGGAUGGCUUCAAUACUAGGCCAACCUAUAAUGCACCCCAUGAAUGAAUUUCCACCUAUACUCACUUCAUGUUUCCCCUGCACAGAAGUGCUACGGAGUUAAUAGGACAGAUGAAAUAACAGCAUUUGAUCAAAUCUAGGGUAGGGUGACAGUGGAUGAGACUACAUUGACUAAAGCCCAAUGAUUCCAACUGAAUCCAUCUUAGACCAACAUAUAGACGGUUGACUUCCAAAUAUAUGAGAGCACCCAGACAAGAUCAGCAGAUUAAUCUACAGUUGAUCACUAAUACAGAAAAACCAUCCGGUUGGCCCAUGGACUUAACGAGCAUUAAUAAAUGUUUCCUGUCUU
rnacentral:lncRNA from 1 species